GACGAACGCUGGCGGCGUGCUUAACACAUGCAAGUCGAACGAAAAGAGGGAAAGAGCUUGCUCUUUCCGGAAUUGAGUGGCAAACGGGUGAGUAACACGUAAACAACCUGCCUUCAGGAUGGGGACAACAGACGGAAACGACUGCUAAUACCGAAUAAGUUCCAAGGGCCGCAUGGCCCAUGGAAGAAAAGGUGGCCUCUACUUGUAAGCUAUCGCCUGAAGAGGGGUUUGCGUCUGAUUAGCUGGUUGGAGGGGUAACGGCCCACCAAGGCGACGAUCAGUAGCCGGUCUGAGAGGAUGAACGGCCACACUGGAACUGAGACACGGUCCAGACUCCUACGGGAGGCAGCAGUGGGGAAUCUUCCGCAAUGGGCGAAAGCCUGACGGAGCAACGCCGCGUGAGUGAUGACGGCCUUCGGGUUGUAAAACUCUGUGAUCCGGGACGAAAAGGCAGAGUGCGAAGAACAAACUGCAUUGACGGUACCGGAAAAGCAAGCCACGGCUAACUACGUG
rnacentral:rRNA from 1 species